UUCGAAUGAAUGCAUGUGUUUGAAGUGAAUUGGAUUGAUCAGGUCAUUGUAUGAAGGCCAGCUUGAUAAAAACGCAGGAAUACAAAGAUAGACUUAAGCCUUGGCUCAGCUUUAUAUGCAUUCUGUUCCAUUCCAGGGAGUUCCUUCUGAGAAGUUGGAUUUCUCUGUAUUCACCAUGUGGCACACAGACAGAACCCUAUCAUAGAGAUAGUUGAUGGAAUGCUCAAGUGUGUUGCAGGAAAAUUGUUUUCAGGUAAUAAAAAAACACUCUUUUGUCGAAAUUCACGCAUUGCAUUUAUCUUACCCCACUGGCAAAUAGUUUUUUAAUGUAAUAUUCCACUUAGUAAUUUGCCAAUGGGACAUUUGGACUUUGAUUCUCAUGUAAAUAUGCCUUCUUUUCCACUAAAAUAGUUUAAUACCAUUAGUAUUUUGACUAUUUUAGUGGAGAACGAGACAAAAAUAUUGAUUAAAAAUUAUUUUCAAUGUGGAAAUUUCAAUUUUCAAUUUGAAUAUUCAAAAAAUGUCUUCUCAUUUCUUCCGGCUUUGUAUUACCAGUUUGAAAAUUUCUAAUAAAAUCAUAUUAUUUUAAACA